GGCUGGUGCUAUGAGCCGUGCCUGGUGGCGUUGGAAUCACAAAUAUGUCCAGCCCAAACGUGCUGGAAUUGCACCAUUCUUCCAAAUCACUGCUGUCGCUAUGACUUUCUUCUAUGUCAUCAACUAUGGCAAGAUUAGACACCACAGAAAUUACAA
rnacentral:lncRNA from 1 species